AGUGAACGCUGGCGGUAGGCCUAACACAUGCAAGUCGAACGGCAGCACAGUAAGAGCUUGCUCUUACGGGUGGCGAGUGGCGGACGGGUGAGGAAUACAUCGGAAUCUACUUUUUCGUGGGGGAUAACGUAGGGAAACUUACGCUAAUACCGCAUACGACCUACGGGUGAAAGCAGGGGAUCUUCGGACCUUGCGCGAUUGAAUGAGCCGAUGUCGGAUUAGCUAGUUGGCGGGGUAAAGGCCCACCAAGGCGACGAUCCGUAGCUGGUCUGAGAGGAUGAUCAGCCACACUGGAACUGAGACACGGUCCAGACUCCUACGGGAGGCAGCAGUGGGGAAGAUUGGACAAUGGGCGCAAGCCUGAUCCAGCCAUACCGCGUGGGUGAAGAAGGCCUUCGGGUUGUAAAGCCCUUUUGUUGGGAAAGAAAAGCAGCAGGUUAAUACCCCGCUGUUCGGACGGUACCCAAAGAAUAAGCACCGGCUAACUUCGG
rnacentral:rRNA from 1 species